ACGACCUUACUUGAACAGGAUCUGUUCUAUAGGCUCGUACCUCUGUAUCCUUUAGCACAAAGGAGACAGGAUCUCAAGUCUGGUUGAUGAACCACGACCUUGUUACCAGAGCGUGAUUAACAGCUUCCUUGGUCCCUCGGGUCCAGCCGAAGCAGUAGAGGAUCGUUCUCAGCUUGGUGUUCAUCUGGCCGGGAUGGUCACAAGGUUGUCUGACAGACA
rnacentral:snoRNA from 1 species